rnacentral:misc_RNA from 1 species
GGAUCGGUUAAUAGUUCAGUAGCCCUUUCAAGAAUGGACUUCAGAACAAUAGAGGCCCCAUCUCCAGCAGAACUUCCAAGGGGGCGUAGUGGUGGCUGCUCUGAGGAACAGACAACCGCAACAAGACAAGCACUUAGUGCACGAAGGUCCAUACCAGUAACACAGGCAGAAACAGUCUUGGAAAGAUUAGAUGUUGUCUCAGCUGCCCCAGGAUCAGAUGGAAG